rnacentral:lncRNA from 1 species
CAAAAAAAUGUAAAAAUUUUCUUGUUCACUCGAAAUUUGAUUUUGAAUAACCCCAUACCAAAUUGGAGCAAAAGAACUGGCGGAUGAGCUGAAAAUUGUGGGAAAAGCCAGGCGCCGCCACCGUUGGAAAAACCAAAAAUCACCUCCGCUGAGCCCUUUUCUGAUUCCCGUUUCAUGCGAUUUUUCCACCAUUGUAUUCACCGUUUUGUUUCUCACAGGUUGACUGAAGAAAAAUGCCC